UAGGAAAUUGGACCAGACUGGAGGAGAGAUGCUGCUGCGAGUAGGAAGAGAAGAAUGCGCGGAACUUGGAUCACCAGGAGUGGAGCAAUAGCACAGCAGGGAUACUGUGGUCUCGAGGGAACAGAGAUAUGCAACCCACAAUUCAAAAGCAACAAGACACCGGUUUCAUAAAGAUGAAGCAUAAGCCUGCAGGAGAAUGCUAAGGCAGCAAUUACAAAGAAGACUAAACCAGUGGUAAAAUCUGCAGGAAGAUUCAGAAGAGAUAACCUGGGGGCUGCAAAUGGAGAGGAGAAAGGUGAAUAGCACAUAGUCUUGGACUUCGGAAAGUGACCAGUCUGAGGACUAGGACAGAACAGAUGACCAAAGCCUGAUAAGAGAAGGACACUGCUGAAGCAUGACCGUUCCUGGAGGAAAACAGCUCUAGCCAACCGGUGGGUAAGGAGUUACCUUCUCUGGUUACCAUGGAUACAGAAUAGCACGAUUUUUCAAUACUAUGUGCCAAAUUCUGUGUCUGUUCUAUAUACAUGAUCUUCAGAAAGAGCAAGAUACUAACAAUUGUCCUUAAGCUGUCUCUUCGCUGAAAAAAACAAAAACAACAAAAACUGGUCUACCCCCAAUUCUCUUCUAAUUAGCUGCAUGGUGGCUCAUUUGGAGCACAUUCAUUUCUGUUUGACUGAGCAACAGUACUUAUACCAUUGGAAAUUUCCCCCCUUGGCUAUAAUUAUCCCCAAACACAUAAUGACAUUAAUAGAAAAGAGAUAGAGAGAGAGACAUUAAAGAUAACCUUUUACAAAGGUACACUCUCAGACAGCUAAUUACAGAGCCUAAUUUAUAUUAAUCCCAUUAUGAAUGAAUUUAGCUCUUACUUAACAAGAUUUUAAGAAAACAUUAACAUCUAGAUCAAACUCGGUCCCCACUUUUGUGCUGUACGUCACAGCCCAGCUGAAUAUUAACCACUAACGAGUCUGAGGUCACCUGGAACAGCCUUUCCAAUCAGUGUACUGAGACAUUUCAUGCUAAUGCUCCUUCCCAGGACCUAGUUAGAAUGAAAAAUGAAAACAUUUUUUUCUUUCAAUUUUUGUUGAGGCACUGUGAU